GAUGAACGCUGGCGGCGUGCCUAAUACAUGCAAGUCGAGCGAACAGACGAGGAGCUUGCUCCUCUGACGUUAGCGGCGGACGGGUGAGUAACACGUGGAUAACCUACCUAUAAGACUGGGAUAACUUCGGGAAACCGGAGCUAAUACCGGAUAAUAUAUUGAACCGCAUGGUUCAAUAGUGAAAGACGGUUUUGCUGUCACUUAUAGAUGGAUCCGCGCCGCAUUAGCUAGUUGGUAAGGUAACGGCUUACCAAGGCAACGAUGCGUAGCCGACCUGAGAGGGUGAUCGGCCAAACUGGAACUGAGACAAGGUCCAGGCUCCUACGGGAGGCAGCAGUAGGGGAUCUUCCGCAAUGGGCGAAAGCCUGACGGAGCAACGCCGCGGGAGUGAUGAAGGUCUUCGGGUCGUAAAACUCUGUUAUUAGGGAAGAACAAAUGGGUAAGUAACUAUGCACGUCUUGACGGUACCUAAUCAGAAAGCCACGGCUAACUACGUG
rnacentral:rRNA from 1 species